UGGGGAAUUUUGGACAAUGGGCGAAAGCCUGAUCCAGCAAUGCCGCGUGUGUGAAGAAGGCCUUCGGGUUGUAAAGCACUUUUGUCCGGAAAGAAAUCCUUGGCUCUAAUACAGUCGGGGGAUGACGGUACCGGAAGAAUAAGCACCGGCUAACUACGUGCCAGCAGCCGCGGUAAUACGUAGGGUGCAAGCGUUAAUCGGAAUUACUGGGCGUAAAGCGUGCGCAGGCGGUUUGCUAAGACCGAUGUGAAAUCCCCGGGCUCAACCUGGGAACUGCAUUGGUGACUGGCAGGCUAGAGUAUGGCAGAGGGGGGUAGAAUUCCACGUGUAGCAGUGAAAUGCGUAGAGAUGUGGAGGAAUACCGAUGGCGAAGGCAGCCCCCUGGGCCAAUACUGACGCUCAUGCACGAAAGCGUGGGGAGCAAACAGGAUUAGAUACCCUGGUAGUCCACGCCCUAAACGAUGUCAACUAGUCGUUGGGGAUUCAUUUCCUUAGUAACGUAGCUAACGCGUGAAGUUGACCGCCUGGGGAGUACGGUCGCAAGAUUAAAACUUAAAUGAAUUGACGGGGUCAUAGCUGUUUCCU
rnacentral:rRNA from 1 species